rnacentral:rRNA from 1 species
GAUGAACGCUGGCGGCGUGCCUAAUACAUGCAAGUCGAGCGAACGGACGAGAAGCUUGCUUCUCUGAUGUUAGCGGCGGACGGGUGAGUAACACGUGGAUAACCUACCUAUAAGACUGGGAUAACUUCGGGAAACCGGAGCUAAUACCGGAUAAUAUUUUGAACCGCAUGGUUCAAAAGUGAAAGACGGUCUUGCUGUCACUUAUAGAUGGAUCCGCGCUGCAUUAGCUAGUUGGUAAGGUAACGGCUUACCAAGGCAACGAUGCAUAGCCGACCUGAGAGGGUGAUCGGCCACACUGGAACUGAGACACGGCCCAGACUCCUACGGGAGGCAGCAGUAGGGAAUCUUCCGCAAUGGGCGAAAGCCUGACGGAGCAACGCCGCGUGAAUGAUGAAGGUCUUCGGAUCGUAAAACUCUGUUAUUAGGGAAGAACAUAUGUGUAAGUAACUGUGCACAUCUUGACGGUACCUAAUCAGAAAGCCACGGCUAACUACGUG